rnacentral:rRNA from 1 species
CAGGUACAGCGGGAAGCCACCUGGCGACAGGGAGCGGAACCCGAAAGCCUGUCUCAGUUCGGAUUGGAGUCUGCAACCCGACUCCAUGAAGCUGGAUUCGCUAGUAAUCGCGCAUCAGCCACGGCGCGGUGGAUACGUUCCCGGGCCUUGUACACACCGCCCGUCAAGCCAUGGAAGCCGGGGGUGCCUGAAGUGCGCUGCCGCAAGGAGCGCCCUAGGGUAAAACCGGUGACUGGGGCUAAGUCGUAACAAGGUACC